GACGAACGCUGGCGGCGUGCUUAACACAUGCAAGUCGAACGGGAGUAUCGAAGAAGCUUGCUUUAGAAAUACUUUAGUGGCGGACGGGUGAGUAACGCGUGAGGAGCUGUCCUAUGCAGGGGGACAACAGUUGGAAACGACUGCUAAUACCCCAUAAGCCGAGAGGCAAAAGGAUUUAUCCGGCAGAGGAGGUACUCGCGUCCUAUCAGCUAGUAGGUGAGGUAACGGCUCACCUAGGCGAAGACGGGUAGCCGGCCUGAGAGGGCGAACGGCCACACUGGAACUGAGAUACGGUCCAGACUCCUACGGGAGUCAGCAGUGGGGAAUAUUGGGCAAUGGGGGGAACCCUGACCCAGCGACGCCGCGUGGGUGAGGAAAUCCCUCGGGAUGUAAAGCCCUGUUGUAUGGGAAGAGCGGAAGACGGUACCAUACGAGGAAGCCCCGGCAAACUACGUGCCAGCAGCCGCCGUAA
rnacentral:rRNA from 1 species